UCCUACGGGAGGCAGCAGUGGGGAAUAUUGGACAAUGGGGGCAACCCUGAUCCAGCCAUGCCGCGUGUGUGAAGAAGGCCUUCGGGUUGUAAAGCACUUUCAGCGAGGAGGAAGGCCUAUCGGUUAAUACCCGGUAGGAUUGACGUUACUCGCAGAAGAAGCACCGGCUAACUCCGUGCCAGCAGCCGCGGUAAUACGGAGGGUGCAAGCGUUAAUCGGAAUUACUGGGCGUAAAGCGCGCGUAGGUGGUUUGAUAAGCGAGAUGUGAAAGCCCCGGGCUCAACCUGGGAACGGCAUUUGGAACUGUCAGGCUAGAGUGCAGUAGAGGGUGGUAGAAUUCCCGGUGUAGCGGUGAAAUGCGUAGAGAUCGGGAGGAAUACCAGUGGCGAAGGCGGCCUUCUGGACUGACACUGACACUGAGGUGCGAAAGCGUGGGUAGCAAACAGGAUUAGAUACCCUGGUAGUCCACGCCGUAAACGAUGUCGACCAGCCGUUGGGUGCCUAGAGCACUUUGUGGCGAAGUUAACGCGAUAAGUCGACCGCCUGGGGAGUACGGCCGCAAGGUUAAAACUCAAAUGAAUUGACGGGGGCCCGCACAAGCGGUGGAGCAUGUGGUUUAAUUCGAUGCAACGCGAAGAACCUUACCUACUCUUGACAUCUACAGAAGCCAGCGGAGACGCAGGUGUGCCUUCGGGAACUGUAAGACAGGUGCUGCAUGGCUGUCGUCAGCUCGUGUUGUGAAAUGUUGGGUUAAGUCCCGUAACGAGCGCAACCCUUGUCCUUAUUUGCCAGCACGUAAUGGUGGGAACUCUAGGGAGACUGCCGGUGACAAACCGGAGGAAGGUGGGGA
rnacentral:rRNA from 1 species